rnacentral:rRNA from 1 species
AUUGAACUCUGGCGGCAGGCCUAACACAUGCAAGUCGAGCGGAUGAAGGGAGCUUGCUCCUGGAUUCAGCGGCGGACGGGUGAGUAAUGCCUAGGAAUCUGCCUGGUAGUGGGGGAUAACGUCCGGAAACGGGCGCUAAUACCGCAUACGUCCUGAGGGAGAAAGUGGGGGAUCUUCGGACCUCACGCUAUCAGAUGAGCCUAGGUCGGAUUAGCUAGUUGGUGGGGUAAAGGCCUACCAAGGCGACGAUCCGUAACUGGUCUGAGAGGAUGAUCAGUCACACUGGAACUGAGACACGGUCCAGACUCCUACGGGAGGCAGCAGUGGGGAAUAUUGGACAAAGGGCGAAAGCCUGAUCCAGCCAUGCCGCGUGUGUGAAGAAGGUCUUCGGAUUGUAAAGCACUUUAAGUUGGGAGGAAGGGCAGUAAGUUAAUACCUUGCUGUUUUGACGUUACCAACAGAAUAAGCACCGGCUAACUUCGUG